rnacentral:misc_RNA from 1 species
UUUGGCGCUUGGACUGCC